rnacentral:rRNA from 1 species
GACGAACGCUGGCGGCGUGCUUAACACAUGCAAGUCGAACGGAAAGGCCCUGCUUUUGUGGGGUGCUCGAGUGGCGAACGGGUGAGUAACACGUGAGUAACCUGCCCUUGACUUUGGGAUAACUUCAGGAAACUGGGGCUAAUACCGGAUAGGAGCUCCUGCUGCAUGGUGGGGGUUGGAAAGUUUCGGCGGUUGGGGAUGGACUCGCGGCUUAUCAGCUUGUUGGUGGGGGAGUGGCUUACCAAGGCUUUGACGGGUAGCCGGCCUGAGAGGGUGACCGGCCACAUUGAGACUGAGAUACGGCCCCGACUCCUACGGGAGGCAGCAGUGGGGAAUAUUGCACAAUGGGCGGAAGCCUGAUGCAGCAACGCCGCGUGCGGGAUGACGGCCUUCGGGUUGUAAACCGCUUUCGCCUGUGACGAAGCGUGAGUGACGGUAAUGGGUAAAGAAGCACCGGCUAACUACGUG